rnacentral:rRNA from 1 species
UACGUAGGGGGCUAGCGUUGUCCGGAUUCAUUGGGCGUAAAGGGUGCGUAGGUGGCGCUGUAAGUCGGGUGUGAAAUUUCGGAGCUUAACUCCGAAACUGCAUUCGAUACUGCGGUGCUUGAGGACUGGAGAGGAGACUGGAAUUCAUGGUGUAGCAGUGAAAUGCGUAGAGAUCAUGAGGAAGACCAGUGGCGAAGGCGGGUCUCUGGACAGUUCCUGACACUGAGGCACGAAGGCCAGGGGAGCAAACGGG